UAUACGACCGUACCGCAAACCGACACUGGUGCGCGAGAUGAGUAUUCUAAGGCGCUUGAGAGAACUCAGGAGAAGGAACUCGGCAAAUUGACACCGUAACUUCGGAAGAAGGUGUGCCCUAUUAGUGUGUAGUGAACAACGAAGCAUGAAUGGGUUGCAAAAAAUCGGUGGCUGCGACUGUUUAUUAAAAACACAGCACUCUGCAAACACGAAAGUGGACGUAUAGGGUGUGACGCCUGCCCGGUGCUGGAAGAUUAAAUGAUGGGGUGCAAGCUCUUGAUUGAAGUCCCAGUAAACGGCGGCCGUAACUAUAACGGUCCUAAGGUAGCGAAAUUCCUUGUCGGGUAAGUUCCGACCUGCACGAAUGGCGUAACGAUGGCCACACUGUCUCCUCCUGAGACUCAGCGAAGUUGAAAUGUUUGUGAUGAUGCAAUCUCCCCGCGGAAAGACGGAAAGACCCCAUGAACCUUUACUGUAGCUUUGUAUUGGGCUUUGAACAGAUCUGUGUAGGAUAGGUGGGAGGCUUUGAAGCAGGGUCGCUAGAUCUUGUGGAGCCAACGUUGAAAUACCACCCUGGUGUGUUUGAGGUUCUAACCUAGGUCCAUUAUCUGGAUCGGGGACAGUGCAUGGUAGGCAGUUUGACUGGGGCGGUCUCCUCCCAAAGCGUAACGGAGGAGUUCGAAGGUACGCUAGUUACGGUCGGACAUCGUGACGAUAGUGCAAUGGCAUAAGCGUGCUUAACUGCGAGACUGACAAGUCGAGCAGAUGCGAAAGCAGGACAUAGUGAUCCGGUGGUUCUGUAUGGAAGGGCCAUCGCUCAACGGAUAAAAGGUACUCUGGGGAUAACAGGCUGAUACCGCCCAAGAGUUCAUAUCGACGGCGGUGUUUGGCACCUCGAUGUCGGCUCAUCUCAUCCUGGGGCUGUAGCCGGUCCCAAGGGUAUGGCUGUUCGCCAUUUAAAGAGGUACGUGAGCUGGGUUUAAAACGUCGUGAGACAGUUUGGUCCCUAUCUUCCGUGGGCGCUGCAGAUUUGAGGAAGCCUGCUCCUAGUACGAGAGGACCGGAGUGGACACACCUCUGGUGUAUCGGUUGUCACGCCAGUGGCAUUGCCGAGUAGCUAAGUGUGGAAGAGAUAACCGCUGAAAGCAUCUAAGCGGGAAACUCGUUUCAAGAUGAGAUCUGCCGGGGCCUUGAGCCCCCUAAAGAGUCGUUCAAGACCAGGACGUUGAUAGGUCAGGUGUGGAAGCGAAAA
rnacentral:rRNA from 1 species